CACUCCUGCGGGAGGCAGCAGUGGGGAAUUUUGGACAAUGGGCGAAAGCCUGAUCCAGCAAUGCCGCGUGAGUGAAGAAGGCCUUCGGGUUGUAAAGCUCUUUUGUCAGGGAAGAAACGGUGAAAGCUAAUAUCUUUUGCUAAUGACGGUACCUGAAGAAUAAGCACCGGCUAACUACGUGCCAGCAGCCGCGGUAAUACGUAGGGUGCAAGCGUUAAUCGGAAUUACUGGGCGUAAAGCGUGCGCAGGCGGUUUUGUAAGUCUGAUGUGAAAUCCCCGGGCUCAACCUGGGAAUUGCAUUGGAGACUGCAAGGCUAGAAUCUGGCAGAGGGGGGUAGAAUUCCACGUGUAGCAGUGAAAUGCGUAGAUAUGUGGAGGAACACCGAUGGCGAAGACAGCCCCCUGGGUCAAGAUUGACGCUCAUGCACGAAAGCGUGGGGAGCAAACAGGAUUAGAAACCCGAGUAGUCCCAU
rnacentral:rRNA from 1 species